UCUAUGGGAGCUGGGGACCUUGGUGGUUGCCAGGGUGACAGCAAUACAACAUGGCGGCCGGACCUAGAGGCUCGCAACCGAGGGGGCUUUAGCCUUGGGUCCGCGUCUGGGGACUCUGCCUCAGGGGACUCGGGGAGUGGAGAAGUCAUCCUUCCCUCCCCUUUCCCCCUUCUCUUCCUCCGCCUCCGCCUCAUAUCGGCGAGUGGUCUCUAAGCCACCUCAGCCCUACCCAGCCCAGCCCGGCCUGGGCCUGCCCGGACGGGCCGGAGCUGAGGAUGAAGAAAUAUAAAGCAAUUGGCAAAAUAGGAGAAGGAACAUUUUCUGAAGUUAUAAAGAUGCAGAACCUAAAAGAUGGAAAUUAUUACGCAUGUAAACAGAUGAAACAACAUUUUGAAAGCAUUGAGCAAGUGAACAAUCUACGAGAAAUACAAGCACUGAGGCGCCUGAAUCCACACCCAAAUAUUCUUACAUUGCAUGAAGUUGUCUUUGACAGAAAAACUGGUUCUCUUGCACUAAUAUGUGAACUUAUGGACAUGAAUAUUUAUGAGCUAAUACGAGGGAGAAAACACCCACUCCCAGAAAAGAAAAUAACGAACUAUAUGUAUCAGCUGUGUAAGUCUCUUGAUCAUAUGCAUAAAAAUGGAAUAUUUCAUAGAGAUGUAAAACCAGAAAAUAUACUAAUUAAGCAGGAUCUUCUGAAAUUAGGAGAUUUUGGGUCAUGUAGAAGUGUUUAUUCUAAGCAGCCAUAUACAGAAUAUAUAUCUACUCGUUGGUACCGGGCACCUGAGUGUCUCCUCACAGAUGGAUAUUAUAGCUACAAGAUGGAUAUGUGGAGUGCUGGCUGUGUGUUUUACGAAAUCAUGAGUCUGCAGCCUCUAUUUCCUGGAGCUAAUGAAUUGGACCAAAUCUCCAAAAUCCAUGAUAUUAUUGGCACACCUCCUCAGAAAACUCUUACCAAAUUCAAACAGUCAAGAGCUAUGAGUUUUGAUUUUCCUUUUAAAAAGGGAUCAGGAAUCUCUCUGAUGACACCGACUUUGUCCCCUCAGUGCCUUUCUCUGAUCUAUGCAAUGGUAGAAUAUGACCCAGAUGAAAGAAUCAGUGCCCACCAGGCACUGCAGCAUUCUUACUUCCGAGAACAAAGGAUAUCAGAGAAGCAAGCUCUUGUAACCCGCAGGAAAGUAGGAUUGACAGAACAUCUGGGAGAACCAGACUCACUCAAAAAUGUGUGGCAGAUUUCAAAGGAAGGCAAAAAACAGUAUCUAAAGCAAGUUGAAGGGCACCCAGAAAGGCAGGGAUCUACCUGUCCGGUGGAACUACCCAAACUGAAGGUCUCUGGGGUAACCAAACUCUCAUCCUACUCCAGCCCUACUCUGCGCGCAGUUCUUAGCAGCUCUGGGACAAGUGGGAAAGUACCCAUCUUAAAGCCUCUAAAAUAUAUUGGAACAAACAAGAAGGAAUAAAUAAAAAAAACUUUCUCAUGGAAAUAUGAAUCGAAUUCUGCAACAUUUGGAUGCUGGUGUCCAAGAAACAGGCGUGGGCAAAACUGGUUUACUCUUUCUUCAUCUUCAAAAGAUAAGUAAGAAAAAAUGAUGGAGGUAGAAGAACAACUCCCUGCAAGAGGCAAACUCUUAAAGCUGUAGAAGGUAAACAGUAAUUGUUUUGUCAAAGAAUAUCUUUAAAUGGUUCAUUAUGAUACCUUACUCAUAUUCCAGAUGCCAACUAAGGGCUCUCUUGUAUGACAAAAUGAUGCUUCAAAUGAGAAGGUGAUGGCUUGAAACUAGGAAAACACCAGCACUUACUCGGUUCUCCUCUGGCAUGCAUUUGACAUCCUAGGACUAAAAGUGACCAGUUUACCCAUUGGAAAUGGAAAUCCAAGUUAUCCACAAGGUAGAAAAGAUUCCAAAAGGAUUCUACCGCAGAGCAGGCAAAGAGAAACAAAAUACCAUUGGUUUAAAAUUUUAGAUGUUAGGUUUUCCCCUAAACUUCAAAUAAGAUCCUGAAUAUUUGAAA